AAACCAACAGGGAUUGCCUUAGUAACUGCGAGUGAAGCGGCAAGAGCUCAAAUUUGAAAUCUGGCACCUUCGGUGUCCGAGUUGUAAUUUGUAGAAGCAUCUUUUGAAUUGGUCCUUGCAUAUGUUCCUUGGAACAGGACAUCAUAGAGGGUGAGAAUCCCGUUCAUGGUGGGGAAACCAAUUCUUUGUAAAGUGCUUUCGAAGAGUCGAGUUGUUUGGGAAUGCAGCUCUAAGUGGGUGGUAAAUUCCAUCUAAAGCUAAAUAUUGGCGAGAGACCGAUAGCGAACAAGUACAGUGAUGGAAAGAUGAAAAGUACUCCGAAAGGAGAGUGAAAAAGGACGUGAAAUUGUUGAAAGGGAAGUGCUUGAGAUCAGUCUUAGGUUUUAGUGAUCAAUCUUCCUUUUGGUUGGUGCACUCACUAUUGCUUAGGCCAGCAUCAGUUUUAGUGACAGGAUAAUGACCUUGGAAUGUGGCUCUUUCGGGAGUGUUAUAGACUUGGUUGAUACUGUCUACUGAGACUGAGGACCGCGCUUUUAGCUAGGAUGCUGGCAUAAUGAUCUUAAGCAGC
rnacentral:rRNA from 1 species